GGGAGAGAGGGGAACGCAGUGAUUCUUCCUGGGGCCGGAAGGGCGUGGAGAGGAGAGGCUGGGAGCCUAAUUCAAGGAUGGCUGGGAGCCGAAUGGAGCCGGUUAUCCUGGGAGAAGCAGGGGACUGCCGCGUGGGGGGGCCUGGAGGCCGGAGCCCGGAGGGGUGGGACGCAGUGAGGCAGGUGCGCCAGGACAAAACCUCCAAGACCUGGGAGGCUCAGGCUUGGCGCUGUGCCUCUGAGAAACACAGCCCAGUGGCCAAAACCAGCAGCAAGGAUUCCAGCCUUGAUUUCCAUCUCUCAGCAAACACCAGGGGGGACCCAAUUCUUCAGCCUAAAUGCCCUGUCCCCUCCCUUCCCAAGUCACCUCUGCCCCUCAGAGCCCUGCCUCUUUAGAGGGGAGAAGGGAGACCCGCCUUCUGAGUGUGCAGCUUCAAGGCCAAGGGCAAGGGAGGGGUCCUCAUCCCUGAGUGCGCCACAGAAGGGCUGCCAGUGGCCGAGCCGUAGAUCCCUGGCCAAAGCCAGGCCUCCCGCUUCAGCCGCUGGGAGAGGCUCAGGAUUCUGCCUGCUCCCCGCCCCAGCUGACACACCCACUGACCACAGCCAACUGCAGCCAGGAGCCAGGUUCGGGAAGCGAUGGGGGACUGCGGCUCAGCAGUGCACGUCAAGCCCGAGCCUGAGGUUCAAGCCCGAGCCUGAGGUCACACCCUGACCGUGCAGGACCCUCAGGCCUGCUGCCUGCACCACCCAGCAGGGUCCAGGCUGCCCAGAGACCACCCAGACCCCGUCUCUGCUGGGGAUCAGGGAGCACUGCUGGAAGGGGUCCACACCGUCCGGCCCGGUUGAUCGGGACACUCUCCAUCCCGGAAGACCAGUCUCCCAUGAGGGAGCCUCAGACGUCAGGACGUGCGAUCAGCGGGCCCAAGGGGGGCUCCCACUCAGGGCGCAGUGAGCGAAGCGUGGGAAGCCGGUCCCACCUGCCGCCGGGCUUUGACAGGGAGCCUCAGUGGGUGAGCCGGUGACCUGGAGCGCUGCCAGCGCGGGUGGACC